UCAAACUUGGUCAUUUAGAGGAAGUAAAAGUCGUAACAAGGUUUCCGUAGGUGAACCUGCGGAAGGAUCAUUACCAAAUGGUGGUCGGCCGGGGCUCUGUCCCGGUCCGUCCGAAUACCUUCAACCCUUGAACACUUAGCCCUGUUGCCUCGGCGGGUCCGCCCGCCAGAGGACACAAACCAAACUACUGUUGUUAACGGUGUGGUCUGAGCUAUACAAAGCAAUUGUUUAAAACUUUCAACAACGGAUCUCUUGGUUCUGGCAUCGAUGAAGAACGCAGC
rnacentral:misc_RNA from 1 species